UAUCACCCUACAGAAAAAGUAAGGGGUGGAAAGAGUGAGGAAGAGUAACACUCACCAGGUGUGAAAGAAACAUCACUGAGUUUCACAUUCUCCCAUGUGAUCUAGGAACGGCUGGCUCCCUCUGGCAGUGGGAAGAAGAAGGUCCAGCUCAGGAGCUCUGACCACAGGGUGGAUGACAUGACUAAGGGGCAUGAAGCCCAGGAAAAGCUGGGAGCCAGGACUGGCCCUGGAAGUCCUCUGACUCCUGUGCUAUGGCUACUUCUCCCUCCACCAUGCCCAGCCCUCCCAUCCUCUUCCACCUACCAACCUUUGUGUGCCCCUCCAUCACCAGUUUGCAGGGAGUUCCCGCCACCCAAGGUGCUGGCCCCUUCCGCACACUGCAGCCUCACCUGCGCAGCUCGGUCCCCCAUCUCCUGGCAGCGGACAAACCACUGGCUCUUCAGUAGGUAUUCAACCACAUCCCCAGAACGGCUGAGAGAGAGACGGGCUAAGUGUACUGCUCUUUGGGUUCUGUGUUUUUUCCCCAAGGGACAUGGGACCCUACUACACGCCAGGCCCUCAGAACCGAGAACAGAACAGCAAAUAAAACUGACACAGAGCUUCUGUUCCCUCGCAAAGGGGUACGUACAGAGCCCA